GGCCCCUUGGUCAAGCGGUUAAGACGCCACCCUCUCAAGGUGGAGUGAUGGGUUCGAUUCCCGUAGGGGUCACCA
rnacentral:tRNA from 1 species